GCUGUGGCUUAGUGGUAGAACAUCUAUUUGGCAUGCAGAAGGUCCCAGUUUCAAGCCCCAGCAUCUACA
rnacentral:tRNA from 1 species